rnacentral:rRNA from 1 species
AUUGAACGCUGGCGGCAUGCCUUACACAUGCAAGUCGAACGGCAGCACGGGUGCUUGCACCUGGUGGCGAGUGGCGAACGGGUGAGUAAUACAUCGGAACAUGUCCUGUAGUGGGGGAUAGCCCGGCGAAAGCCGGAUUAAUACCGCAUACGAUCUACGGAUGAAAGCGGGGGACCUUCGGGCCUCGCGCUAUAGGGUUGGCCGAUAGCUGAUUAGCUAGUUGGUGGGGUAAAGGCCUACCAAGGCGACGAUCAGUAGCUGGUCUGAGAGGACGACCAGCCACACUGGGACUGAGACACGGACCAGACUCCUACGGGAGGCAGCAGUGGGGAAUGUUGGACAAUGGGCGAAAGCCUGAUCCAGCAAUGCCGCGUGUGUGAAGAAGGCCUUCGGGUUGUAAAGCACUUUUGUCCGGAAAGAAAUCCUUGGCUCUAAUACAGUCGGGGGAUGACGGUACCGGAAGAAUAAGCACCGGCUAACUACGUG